CAAGUGACUGAAAUAAGCUUCCUUCAUAGGGUGACUGGAUGCUCCCUUAGAGAUAGAGUGAGGAGCUCAGUCACCAAGGAGGAGCUUAGGGAUAGG